UGCGAGCCGACAGGUUAUCCGAGUGAUUUCUGCUAAAGAAAUCUUUUGUUAGUCCUAGAAACACUAACGAAUAAGGGGUGGGCAAGUUCUGGUGUCAGCCGCCGCGGUAAAACCAGCACCUCAAGUGGUCAGGAUGAUUAUUGGGCCUAAAGCAUCCGUAGCCGGCUCUGUAAGUUUUCGGUUAAAUCUGUACGCUCAACGUACAGGCUGCCGGGAAUACUGCAUAGCUAGGGAGUGGGAGAAGUAGACGGUACUCGGUAGGAAGUGGUAAAAUGCUUUGAUCUAUCGAUGACCACCUGUGGCGAAGGCGGUCUACUAGAACACGUCCGACGGUGAGGGAUGAAAGCUGGGGGAGCAAACCGGAUUAGAUACCCGGGUAGUCCCAGCUGUAAACUAUGCAAACUCAGUGAUGCAUUGGCUCGUGGCCAAUGCAGUGCUGCAGGGAAGCCGUUAAGUUUGCCGCCUGGGAAGUACGUACGCAAGUAUGAAACUUAAAGGAAUUGGCGGGGGAGCAC
rnacentral:rRNA from 1 species